rnacentral:miRNA from 1 species
UUAUGAUCAUAAGGAUAAAUGA